UCGAAUAUUUACCUACAGUUUUGUUGAUUUACAUAUGAAUUUUUGUAAAAAUGAUAGCAAUAUCCCAAUAACUUCGUGUAUCUAAUCUGCUAGAGUCGUUUGAAUCUGCAUCCGAUAUAUUAUGGCAUUCUUUUCCCGAGCAGCUGGAUAAUUAUUUUUAGCAAAUUUAUCAACAAAAUGUAUAUUGUCUACUGGUAAAGCAUGGUAGAAAAUAGACAGUUUGGAAAAUUACAAUAAGACGACGGUAGCUCGUAUCAUAUCCUGGAAAACCGAUGAAGACUAUUCCCAACGAGCAAUUAAACAGACAGCAGUGCUUAUUCAAACACUGAAUAAUGUCUUAUUAUUAAUA